rnacentral:snRNA from 1 species
GUGCUCGCUUCGGCAGCACAUAUACUGAAAUUAGAACGACACAGAGAAGAUUAGCAUGGCCCCUGCACAAGGAUGACACAAAAAGAAAAAUAAUUCC